GGAGGAGUGGCCGAGCGGCUUAAGGCGGCGGUCUUGAAAACCGUUGUGCGGAAACGUACCGGGGGUUCGAAUCCCUCCUCCUCCG
rnacentral:tRNA from 1 species